rnacentral:ncRNA from 1 species
AAUGCAUGAGGCCGGUGUUCGCUCGCUGGAGCUUUGUCACUCACUCGCAAACCUAGCGAAGAGGCAAAUGUCCGGCGAGCGAUCUGAGAAAUACGGUCUGAACUUGAUCAGGUUAAAUCCUGCGAAAGGACUCAUGCUUUGCUGCCC